rnacentral:rRNA from 1 species
CACGUAGUUAGCCGGUGCUUAUUCUUCAGGUACCGUCAUUAGCAGAAGAUAUUAGCUUUCACCGUUUCUUCCCUGACAAAAGAGCUUUACAACCCGAAGGCCUUCUUCACUCACGCGGCAUUGCUGGAUCAGGCUUUCGCCCAUUGUCCAAAAUUCCCCACUGCUGCCUCCCGUAGGAGUCUGGACCGUGUCUCAGUUCCAGUGUGGCUGGUCGUCCUCUCAGACCAGCUACUGAUCGAUGCCUUGGUAGGCUUUUACCCUACCAACUAGCUAAUCAGAUAUCGGCCGCUCCACGAGCAUGAGGUCUUGCGAUCCCCCAUUUCAUCCUUAGAUCGUAUGCGGUAUUAGCGUAACUUUCGCUACGUUAUCCCCCGAUCUAGGGUACGUUCCGAUAUAUUACGUCACCCGUUCGCCUACUCGCCACCAGAGCAAGCUCCGUGCUGCCGUUCGACUUGCAUCGUGUAAGGCAUCGCCGCCAGUCGUUACAAUCUAGACGACCG